UUUAAUCCCUCUACUGCAUGGAUGGUGGUAGGUCCUUUCAGAAACUCCUCUGAGUUUCAGAUUUCUCUUCUGUGUCUUCCCAAGGCAGGUAUGAAGGCUGGCUGCUUCCAGGUGCUGCCGGCACUGCUUAGCUUCCACUUCACAUUCCCCAAAUUCCAUCCUGGUGUGUCUAGGCAGAUAUGUCUUGGCUGCUUAAAUUGAAAAACAAUAACAUUCAAAUGCACAGGGGUCAAACAGAAAGUCAGGUAACUGCUUUAGGCUUAGACUAAGAUUACCAAGAGGGAGAGAUUCUGCGAAUAAUAAAGCUAAAAGGACUGGCCUUGAAUGCAGCACUGAGGGAGCAGAAGCAGCCGUACAGAGAGACAAAUAGUCUGAGCAUGGAUAUGAUGUGAAAACGUGAGAAACAACUAGGUGAAGCAAUUUCCAAUAAUUUUAACUCCAAGGAAUUGGAGAGCAGGACGAGCUGUAGCACAACCAAACUGCAGACAUUCAGAAAGUUUUGUAUUUGUGGUAGUAUUUUAAAGAUCCUUGCCUACUUUGCUUUUGUUUUUUCUCACCCUUUUACCAGCAAGUGUAGAUGACAAGCAGAGCUGAAAAUCACAAUAUUAAAUUCUUCACUAACCACAAAUUCUCUAUGACUAUAAAGAGAAAGGCGAAGUGAUGUGAAGAAAAGAGGCCACUAGAGUUCAUCUAAUGACACGCAUGUGUGAGGCAGUCAGGAUGCUCAGUGUAGUAAAUGAAACGAUGUUACUGUAUAAGGAAAGAUUUGGGUAUAAUGACUGUUAUAUCUGAAUGAUCACAGCAUGCAAGUACAGAAGACAGUGAUCUUCCCAGAGUUUGUGGAGAAGCAAAUCCUUGCUUUAUCUAGGCACAGCUGAACUUUGCAGACAAGUGCGUUAAUGCCACACCAGGUCAGCAGGGCUAUAAUUGUCUCUAACCAGAACAGUCAAAAGUUGCAGAGUUCGCUCUCUGCUGGGUGAGUGACACCCAGAAAUUCUUUCUAGACUUAAAAACAAGCAAAGAGACAAGUUUGAACCUGAACUUCAGUGUAAUCAUGCCACUCAGCAGCAUAAACAAACAUGGCACCGAUUGGAAAACUAUUCUCGAGGAGUCAGUUUUGACUGAUCCAGAUAAGAAGUUCUCAAAGUUAGGGUCGUGCCCCUGAGGAGUGCUGAAGGAAGAGAGGUCAUGAGCCCGGAAAGGAGGUUUCAGGCUGAAAAUCUUGGAAACUGCUGAUCUAGACAAAUGAAUGGUCAUGCCAAGGGGGUUCCCCUAGAACAUCUCUUUUCCAUUCUCCUGCCUUGCAAGCAAUAACUGGAGGGAGUUUUAAAGCUGGCAAGGCUAGCCUGUUUGUAACAUGCUGAUGUAUUUCUAAAAGCAGAUCUCUGGAAAUGAGCCUGAGAUCAGGGAGAUGAGAGAAAGGCAGGCUCUUGAGGGAAGGAUGUGGAACAAAGAGAAGGGGAGGAGAGGCAUGUCUGUGGGAAACAGGAUCUGCAAAGGAAAAAUAAGAUUGAGUGGAAGAGAUGGAGGCUUGUUAAGGUUGUAAGACAGCUUUGUAGUCUAACUUGGAAGGUUACAUUAGUCUCACAACAACUUUGAAAGACAAAGCCCUUGGUGCUGAGCUGCAUACCAUCACGUGAAAACUAGCAUAAUUUUUGGUGGAAUUAAUGUGUGGCCAGAGUAAGGUAUGUACAACUGAUGCAUACACAGAAAUAAGGCAAGAUCUGUGAGUCUCCAAAUGGCUGUCUUUACUUCUUGUGCUUUGAAAGCUAGCAACGCCAGGCUCUGAAUUUACUUACAUCAAGAGAAAACCACUGUUACUGGGAACUUCUGCAGAUUAGUUUAUAAUGAAAAAAUUGGAAAAUAUAAGCAGACAAAAAAAUUAGCAUGGCUUACACUCUCAAUUUUGUCUCAUCAUUAUUAAAAAAAAAAAGUUUAAGCAAUAUUUGGUAAAAGUCUCUAAACGUUGAAUAUUGGUGAUUCUUUUUGCCAGUAAAGUGGUAAGUAUUUGUUUGUGGCAAAGAUUUUCAGCCCAGGCAAGGGCUGAAAGUGCAGAUUUCUCAGAAAGACUCCAUAGAACCUUUCAGUAUCUAAAGGAGAGCUAUAAGAAAGAAGGAGACAGACUCUUCAAGAGGGCCUGUUGUAAUAGGACAACGGGAAAUGGUUUCAUACUAAAAGAGGGGAGAUUCAGAUUGACUAUAAGGAAAAAGCUUUUUACAUCAAGGGUGGUGAGGCACUCAAGAUCAGGCUGGAUGAGCUCUGAGCACCUGUUGGAGCUGUAGGUAUCCUUGUUCGUUGCACUGGAGUUGGACCAGAUGGCUUUAAAAGUCCCUUCAAACUCAAAUGAUCACAUCAGACUGCUGUCACACGUCCUGUGUGAAGUCUCAGCAGUCCGACUCUCCUUGCAGCUAAGGUUUGUGGGAACCUGCUGAACUCUCCCCUGGGCACUGCAGAAAAUAAACAGAGCACCUGCAAGUCAUGUGGGCUUUUAUAAUACCAAAUUAGUUUAAGGAUAAGAGGGGUGUUGGCACCGUGAAAUGGGUAUUUUGAACAAUUUUGUCUACAGCACCCUACUUGCUACCCAAGGGCACGGAGGAUGAAAGCAAUAGAUUUGGGGCAAUUAGGAGGGAGUAUAGCAAUCAGGCAAGUUCAAGUCAGGGACGGGAACUAGGCCUGGAGGUUAGUAAGCCAGCACAGGUCAUCGUCAUAAAACAAACAUCAGGUCUGUGUGGUGCAAUACCUAGCUGAGGCUAUGUGCUAGAAACAAUGCAGAGGUAAAGUCAAUAACAUUGUGUGGUAUUUAUUUAGUAGUGUUAUGUGGAGGGAUAUUAAUGAACCAGGAGAUCUUUGCAGGGGUUGCCUGGGUGCUGUAUUUCAGGCUCUAAGAUGGAGCUGGCCAGGCCUGCUCCCGCGCAAAGCCAGGCAGUGCUGCAGGGACGAGGCCGCAGGGCAAGGCGGGGACAAGUUGCCCUGCUGCUCCAGUUACUGCUGCAGGAACUAGUGCUGACCCACAACCAUAGGUGCUAGAGGAAGCCCGGAGGAGGUGUUGUGCUGAAGACCCUGAGAGCAAGGGAAGGCAGGCAGUCCUGAGCCUUAACCACACUACUGAGGUGGAUUCUUGAGCAAGGCAACUCUCUUCUGCUGCUUGUUUUUAGCGAGAAGAAAACUUUGUGAGUCUCUUUGUGAUUAAAUGAACAUAUACCAAGACUGAACCUGUUUUGAAUCCUGUACAGCUUUGAACAGCAACAAAUUGGUCACACAAGUGAUGCCUAAACUUCAGGCCUCCGUGUCAAGAGCCAUGGACACUUUGCUCUUGAAAGAACCUGAUUUUGCAGGAUGUUCCGGUCUGAAUUUGUCGAGUCUACGUUAGAAGAGACCUAUUCUGAUUCUGCCUGGAGCUGAAUAACUCUUCAAUGCACCUCCACUGUCACCCCUGCUGGCUCCCUGCUUUAAGGUUUUCCAAAUUUCUGCUGUCUGAGCACUUCACGAACCUCUUUAUGCUCCUGCUUUGUGUGAACACCCAUCCAUCUUAAGAAAUUUCUCUGUCCAAGUGAAGUAGUGACAGAAGUCACAGCUGGUUAAUUCACCCCACUCUGAUGCUCACUAUCUUAGUUCAAGUCACUAAAUGAUAUACGAAUAUUAUUUAUUUUUAGUACUCCUCAUGGCUGUAUAUGUUGCUUCCACUCUUCCUAUGUUCCUGGUGCUUGAGCAAGAAGAAAUCAGAAAACGGUGAAUUUUAGGAUGUGUUGAGAAACUUGCAUGGACCUUGCUUCCAGGAAGAACAUACUUAUGUGCUGAUAAAUAGCAACUUAUCUAAAAAGUACUCAAGAAAGUAUUUCUUAAAUAAGAGCACUUCUCUGGAAUUGAGCACUUGGUAGCUGGCUGUUGGGCUUUUUUUUGUUUGUUUGCUUAUUUUUUAGUUUUAGUAUUAUUAUUUUUUAGUUUUAGUAUUUCAGCACCCUGCUGACAGUGUUGUGAAAUCCUUGCUGGGUGUUUGCCAGUUAACUGAAUAAACUUUUACUUGCUUGAUGAUUUUAUAACUCCUCUCUAUGAAAUAAGUUUGUCAUUUGUUUGACUUCUCUCCUGCAUUUUGUGUAUAAAUGCUACCUAAUCUCACAAAGAAAGACUUUGAGACUUAAAUUCUUGCAGUUAUCAAAUACAGCAAUCAGAAAGAGUCUGAGCACUUAA